rnacentral:tRNA from 1 species
CUCUGGUUAGCUCAGUUGAGAACGCUCCACUGGAAAUGGGGAGGUCCCGGGUUCGAUACCCGGACCGGGCG